rnacentral:rRNA from 1 species
AUGGGUUGCUUCCCGUGCUUCGAUUCGGGCUCCGACGGGGAGCUGCUCUACCCCAAGCAGGGCGGCGGAGGCGGCGGAAAUGGCACGGGCGGACGGACUGUGUCCGCGGCAUCGUCCUCCGGCGUCGGCGCCCGCGAGGAGAGACCCAUGGUCCCGCCGCGCGUCGAGAAGCUCCCCGCAGGGGCUGAGAAGGCAAGGGCAAAAGGCAAUGCCGGAAUGAAGGAGCUUUCAGAUCUCAGGGAUGCCAAUGGCAAUGUCCUCUCUGCGCAGACAUUCACCUUCCGCCAGCUUACAGCUGCCACGAGGAACUUCAGGGAGGAAUGCUUCAUUGGGGAGGGAGGGUUCGGACGUGUUUACAAGGGCCGUCUUGAUGGAGGCCAGGUUGUUGCUAUAAAGCAGCUCAAUAGGGAUGGAAACCAAGGAAACAAAGAAUUUCUGGUGGAGGUCCUCAUGCUCAGUUUGCUGCAUCAUCAAAACCUUGUUAAUUUGGUUGGUUAUUGCGCUGAUGGAGAGCAACGCCUUCUGGUGUAUGAGUAUAUGCCCCUUGGAUCAUUGGAAGACCAUCUCCAUGAUCUCCCUCCUGAUAAGGAACCGUUGGACUGGAACACUAGGAUGAAAAUUGCAGCUGGUGCUGCUAAAGGGCUGGAAUACCUCCAUGACAAGGCACAACCACCAGUUAUAUAUAGAGACUUCAAGUCAUCAAAUAUUCUAUUGGGUGAUGAUUUCCAUCCAAAGCUGUCAGACUUUGGUCUCGCUAAAUUGGGUCCUGUUGGUGACAAGUCUCAUGUCUCUACACGUGUGAUGGGAACAUACGGCUAUUGUGCUCCAGAAUAUGCUAUGACAGGGCAACUUACAGUCAAGUCAGAUGUCUAUAGCUUUGGAGUGGUGUUGCUUGAGUUGAUUACUGGCCGGAAGGCCAUUGACAGCACCAGACCUCAUGGGGAACAAAACCUCGUGUCGUGGGCACGCCCUCUUUUCAAUGACAGGCGGAAGCUCCCAAAGAUGGCUGAUCCAGGGCUGCAGGGACGAUAUCCCAUGCGUGGGCUCUACCAAGCCCUCGCUGUGGCGUCAAUGUGUAUUCAGUCAGAGGCUGCUUCGCGACCACUUAUCGCUGAUGUUGUGACUGCUCUUUCCUACCUGGCGUCCCAAAUUUAUGAUCCUAAUGCGAUCCAUGCCUCGAAAAAGGCAGGUGGCGACCAGCGAAGUAGGGUUUCUGAUAGUGGAAGGACGCUCCUGAAGAAUGAUGAGGCAGGCAGCUCUGGACACAAGUCGGAUCGAGAUGAUUCCCCCAGGGAGCCUCCUCCGGGUAUCCUUAAUGACAGGGAGAGGAUGGUGGCUGAGGCGAGGAUGUGGGGUGCGAACCUGCGGGAGAAGACGCGUGCUGCUGCCAAUGCACAGGGGAGCCUCGAUUCUCCAACUGAAAUCGGAUAG